rnacentral:rRNA from 1 species
GUGGGGAAUCUUGCGCAAUGGGCGAAAGCCUGACGCAGCCAUGCCGCGUGAAUGAUGAAGGUCUUAGGAUUGUAAAAUUCUUUCACCGGGGACGAUAAUGACGGUACCCGGAGAAGAAGCUCCGGCUAACUUCGUGCCAGCAGCCGCGGUAAUACGAAGGGGGCUAGCGUUGCUCGGAAUUACUGGGCGUAAAGGGCGCGUAGGGGGACAGCUUAGUCAGAGGUGAAAGCCCAGGGCUCAACCUUGGAAUUGCCUUUGAUACUGGCUGUCUUGAGUUUGGGAGAGGUGAGUGGAACUCCGAGUGUAGAGGUGAAAUUCGUAGAUAUUCGGAAGAACACCAGUGGCGAAGGCGACUCACUGGCCCAAUACUGACGCUGAGGCGCGAAAGCGUGGGGAGCAAACAGGAUUAGAAACCCGAGUAGUCC